GAUUCUCUUCGGAGAAGAGCGGCGGACGGGUGAGUAACGCGUGGGUAACCUGCCCUGUACACACGGAUAACAUACCGAAAGGUAUGCUAAUACGGGAUAAUAUGCUUUAGUCGCAUGGCUGAAGUAUCAAAGCUCCGGCGGUACAGGAUGGACCCGCGUCUGAUUAGCUAGUUGGUGAGGUAAUGGCUCACCAAGGCGACGAUCAGUAGCCGACCCGAGAGGGUGAUCGGCCACAUUGGAACUGAGACACGGUCCAAACUCCUACGGGAGGCAGCAGUGGGGAAUAUUGCACAAUGGGCGAAAGCCUGAUGCAGCAACGCCGCGUGAGCGAUGAAGGCCUUCGGGUCGUAAAGCUCUGUCCUCAAGGAAGAUAAUGACGGUACUUGAGGAGGAAGCCCCGGCUAACUACGUGCCAGCAGCCGCGGUAAUACGUAGGGGGCUAGCGUUAUCCGGAAUUACUGGGCGUAAAGGGUGCGUAGGUGGUUUCUUAAGUCAGAGGUGAAAGGCUACGGCUCAACCGUAGUAAGCCUUUGAAACUGAGAAACUUGAGUGCAGGAGAGGAGAGUAGAAUUCCUAGUGUAGCGGUGAAAUGCGUAGAUAUUAGGAGGAAUACCAGUUGCGAAGGCGGCUCUCUGGACUGUAACUGACACUGAGGCACGAAAGCGUGGGGAGCAAACAGGAUUAGAUACCCUGGUAGUCCACGCCGUAAACGAUGAGUACUAGCUGUCGGAGGUUACCCCCUUCGGUGGCGCAGCUAACGCAUUAAGUACUCCGCCUGGGAAGUACGCUCGCAAGAGUGAA
rnacentral:rRNA from 1 species